UAAGGAAUAUUGCUCAAUGGGAGAAAUCCUGAAGCAGCAACGCCGCGUGGAGGAUGAAGGGUCUAUGACUUGUAAACUCCUGUAAAGAAGGAAAAAAUUCCCAUUUGAUGGGAGAUGAUGGUACUUCUGGAGUAAGCCCCGGCUAACUACGUGCCAGCAGCCGCGGUAAUACGUAGGGGGCAAGCGUUGUCCGGAUUUACUGGGUGUAAAGGGUGCUCAGGCGGAUUUGUAAGUCAGAGGUGAAAUCUUACAGCUUAACUGUGAACCUGCCUUUGAUACUGCAAGCCUAGAGUAUGGAAGAGAGUGAUGGAAUAUCUGGUGUAGCAGUGAAAUGCGUAGAUAUCAGAUAGAACACCAAUGGCGAAGGCAGUCACUUGGUCCAUUACUGACGCUAAAGCACGAAAGCGUGGGUAGCAAACA
rnacentral:rRNA from 1 species